CAGCUAUCUUCGUCUUCUCUAUAAUUAUAGAUGUGCUUUUCGCGAUGCCCAGACCUCGCAACAUUUCCAAAAUUUUUAGGGUUUGUCCUUCCAGGAAAAUCUUCAGUGCUUUUAAAUAUACUAGAUUCUCCAAUCUUCUUUCGUUUGCCAACGCGUCCAGUUUUUACACCUCGAGCAGCAAACUGUUUCCAAGAAUUUUGUGAUGCUUCAAGUGCUGCUUUAGGUUUUAGUUGUUUUUGCUGCUUUUGGGAGUAUGAAACACUAGGAACAGGUGGAGGGUUAGAGGGAGGAAUGGGAGAGAUCUUUGGUAGGGUUGAAACAUGCUGAGCGACAUUUUGGAUCGGAGAUACGUUAGCCGUUACAGCCGCCGAACUCUUCAUAUCUGGAGAAGAGGCACGAGACGCAUAAUUGGAAGGACUUGUAGACAUAGAUGCUACAGAUAUUGCUUUUGUAGGCUCUCUAACAGGUGUACUACGUAUAGUGGUAGAUUUUUUGAGAAUUUCUUUAUUUCCUUCUAUUUCCUGACGUUUUUCCUCAGGCAUGGCCUUAAUAUGUUUGAGGGAAACAGUUUCAAUGUCAGGAUAGUCAAGAAAUUGUACUGUGUACUUUUUGUUUGCACCGAAGCCUGAAACAGCAGUAAUACGUGAAGGAUAAAAUAAAUAAUCUCCUGAAACCCAUCGGGCCAUUACUAAAUUUCCAGGCGUAAAGUCGAUAUGUACUGGCUUUGAAGUAUUGAAACCUGCAACACCAUUUUGGGAAUUUUGAAACGUAUUUUUAUCAUUUUCUACACUUUCUUGUAGUAAGUUUUCAGUAAGGCUAAUUAAUUCCUUUAAAUCAUUUUCCAGUAACUGUAAUUCCUCGUUUUGGGGAGUCUUCUGAAGAGAAAUUUGAACGAGAGCAAGCUGGCUCUUGUAUUCCUCUAAUUCCUUCUCCAUACGAUUACUUUUAUAGAU